rnacentral:lncRNA from 1 species
CUAAUUACCCAAUAUAAUUGAAUCAAAUGCCCAAAUAACUCCCAUUUCUCCCAAAUCGUGGAACGGUGGAAGGCUAGAAGAAAACCCUUUUCCAAUUUCUUCAAUUCUUCCUUCGCCGCUCGUCCCUACCUGCACGACACUGCACACGAGUGACGAGACACGAAGGUGCUAGAGAUCAUCAGUUUCACCCCUGACCUACAAGCUGCAGUGUGAGACACUUCUUCCUUGGGCGCCGCCAGUUCGCCCCUGAUUUCUAAUUAUUUUUCUAACAUGACUUUUGACUUCAUUCUGAAAAUCUUUCAUCUUUUUGAGUUUUGGAGUAAAGAUAGAUAUAUUGUUGUGUUGUUUGUUGAUAUACUAAUUAAGUAUCCAAUAAGCCAUAAAAUAUUAUUUUAUUAAUAAAUAGGGUGGAUUAAAAUUUAAAAUUACAAAAUUUAAUUAAAAGCAAGAUUACUGCAAUUUGAGUUACCUUCAUAAUUUCCUUGUGUUAAUUAUUAUAUUCCUCAAAUAUUAGACUGAGGGUGAGGGAUAUAAUUAAAUAAUUGAACAGUGCCAACAUAUUAUGUGAGUGCUUACAUUUUUUAAAUGAAAAUUUUCACAGGGUAUGAAUCGUAUGAUUGCCUAUUUGUAUGUGUUAAGUGUUAAGUGCUAACUGCUAAUUUGGCAAAUUUAAUUUUAUUGUAUUGUAAUUUGUAGGUGCUAACUGCUCAAUACCAUGUUUAACAAUUUAAGGGCAUCAAUUUGGCGUGAUGUUGGAGCGGAAUCGCAGAAUUCUUUGUCCACUUGGCAAGCAAGUUCUCUGGUUCACUGGUUGGAGACUUGGAGCCAAUAUUAAUGCCAAAUGAUUCCUUCCUCGGGUCAGUGACUUAAGUUGAUCAGUUGAUGUUAAAUAUGUUGUGAUUUCUUCAUUUGGGAAUUAAAAAAUUGCGAAUUAUGAUUUAUGAAUUAUGAUAAGUAAUUUACGUUUUAUGAGUUAUGAUUAUUGAUUUGGGAAUUUAUGUUUAUGAAAUUAUAUUUGCAUUUGCAAUUUAUGAUAAGUAAUUUAUGUUUUGAUUAGGAAUGAUUAUUGAUUUGGGAAUUUAUGUUUACGAAAUUAUGUUGUGAAUUGUGAUUUAUGAUAAGUAAUUUAUGUUUUGUGAGUUAUGAUUAUUGAUUUGAGAAUUUACGUUUAGGAAAUUAGUCAAAGUGAAAAAUUUAAUUAAGAAGACGUUGACCGCUCAAUUCAACCCGUGUGUACUUGGUUUUUUUUUUUUAAAUCAAUUGUAAUUGAUCGUAAUAUCGGACUAACGGUCAACUUGCCCUAGCUGGACUUGGAUCUUGGAUUCCCCGCUGGUGUAUUUAUAGGGUUAAUCGUAUGGGUUUGUUUACUUGUGCCUGUAUGUUUUGGUUUCUUGCCUUCGUUUUGAACCCGCCAAAUAAAAAAUUAGUCCUAUAUUCUUGAUUCAUGUUUUAUGCUUUAUGCUAUCUUCAUUGAUACAAAAUAGUGUUCUAACAAUUUUCAGAUUUGAACCUAAGGAGAACUUCUAAUUUUCCCGCUUUUCCAAUUUUAGCAAAUGGUAUUGUUUUUGUAUCUAUUGGAUGGCUUAUAUUUGAUUGAAAAUUCCCAGGAUGUACUUUAAUUUGUUUUCAUAUCACAGACAUGUUGAUAAAGGUCCUCUAUGUUGUGCUUAAUUGUAUGUUCGUAUUCCACCACUUGCCUAACAAAUUUAAAAAAUAAAAAUACUCUUCCACCACUAAAUGAGCUCUAUCUUUCUUGAUUUCUUGAAAUGAAAUGUAAUUGGCUUAUAUGAUGUGUGAUUACUCUUUUUAGAGUUUCAAAUUCCAAUGGAUCAUCUAUGCAUGUUUUACCUCUACUCAUUUAUUUGAGUUGACUAUGAUCCGUGGUUUAUUCACCUCGUAGAAUGGGUGGAAGAAAUUAUGAAAUUUGUCAUAGUUGUAAAGUUAAGGGCCACUCCUUUGCUAAUGCCCACAAAAACGUCGAUGCCCAUUAUGCAAGCAUGGAUUCGCGAAGUAUUUCAUGGUGGAGAAAGAGACGGUCAACACAGGAUGAUUAAUUCUUUGUUGCAGUGACAAUUGUAGAUUUUGGGACUGGGUUUUGAAAGAAGAAUUAUCAAGAGAUCAAUCCUCUAGCAAUAGCACUUCCUCAGUUAACCUAGGGACGAACGAAAGAGUUGAAGAUAUGAAACGCAAGUUCCAAUCUCGAGUUUUCCUCAAUGAUAAAGAAAAACUACGAAUUUCAAUGACUGUGAUGAUUAGCAAGGUAAAUGGUAGCGCGGAAGGGAAUGUAAAAAGGAAGGGGUCAACGUGAGUAGUAGAAAUUAAUCGAACGGGUGAUCACAUGAGGAUUUAGGCAAUUACAUCUUUUGUGUCAUAUUGUUGUGUAAAAAUUGUUUUGGCAUUUCGAUUUAGCUAGACGAUGUUAAAAUCCAUCUUUCUUGUUCGUAGUUUUGAAGUUAUGAUUUCUUUAUAUUGUUAAAAUUCAUCUUUCUUGUGCAUGAUGUUAUGAUUUCUUCAUAUUGUCUUACUCUGCAUGGAACCAAUAGUGCUAAAAACAGGACAACAAUAACACUAAUAGGGGAAACGGCCAACGAAAUGAUUCACUCAACCGAGGGACCGUGAAUACCGAUGUCCA